GAAAUCACAAACUCAGCAUUAACACAGCAUGAGUGAGUGUGAACACAGGAACACUUCAGAAGUGAUUGUGAUUAUUAUUAUUAUACUUCUUAUGUUACCAGGAUGGAGCAAACACACACGAUAAACAGCCGAAGCCACAGCCGAGCUCUGUUCCUCAACUAGAUGAUGAAACAUUGCCUGAGGAGGAAGUGACUUACGCGAGAGUGUGUGUCAAAGACAAGAAAGUAACACAAGGGUGUGCCAACACCGAGCAACAGAAGGAGGACGAUAAUGUCAUCUACAGCGCUGUCAUUAAAUCCUGAUCACAUUAUUACAUCUCCAUCAAACUCAUCAGAACUGUAAAGAUUUCUGUGGGAACCUGUGAGAAGUUUAAUAUGAAUAUAAAAUACAUCUCAUCAAUUCCAGAUUAGUGUUUAUUCAUAUCAUUAAGUGAGAGCAUCUCGGUGUUUGACCCUUGAUUAGAACAUUGCCUAUAGUUUAAUAUUCACUCUGUCUUUUAUUCCUUUAUUAAUUGUUCAGUCAUGAGCAGAACAUCAUGUACACACACAAGAGCGAUGUAGAGCAAUGAGCAGCCAGUAUGACUACAGGAACCAGAAGGAACUUAACCGCUGUUAAAAAAAAGUUCCUCUAAAGUGAUAGAGUUCAAACACCAGCAGAUCUGUUUUCCAGUCUCCUAACAUUGUAUAAAAAAAAAAACCCACUUAAAAACACUUUGAAUUUCAAUAAAUAAAGUAAAUGUGGUUUCAGCUGUUUACCAUAUUGUUUAUAGUGCAGGGACAUUUUUACCCUAAAGAUUAUAAAUUCUGAUUCUCUGUGACCGUUAAUGCAGGGGCUAAAUCACAGAAAUUACAUCACUGUACAUUCUUAACUAUAGAACAUGUAGAUGCUUUUGUAAAGUCAUUAAUAAAUGUUACUGGUAAUUUCUUAUUUUAAUGGAUCGUGGGAUUCUGCAUGAGAACCUUAAACCUCUGUUUAUUAGACAUUAUGACUGUUUCAUGGAACACAUCACUUUAUCAACUUCUAAGCUGUUUUAUGCAGGACAGUGAUGUAAUUUUUGGACUCCAGACUUUACGGAUGUCUCGGAUUUCUUCCCUCGAUUCACUGAUCCUGUUGUGUACGUCGUGUCUUUCGUAAAAAUAAAAUCUCAAUGCUUUCUUAGA